rnacentral:misc_RNA from 1 species
AACGCACAUUGCACCUCUUGUGAGGUAUGCCUGUCUGAGCGUCUAUGUAACCCAAUAGGCUUGGCCUGUUUUGGGCUUCACUGGGCUCCCCAGCGUUGCCUCAAUUGCAUGUCGUUGUGAAUGGACGAGAUCCUGUAGGACUCUAUUCCAAUCGGGCGACUGAAUGAAUGUUUGACCUCAGAUCAGGUAGGAGUACCGCCUGAACUUAA